rnacentral:rRNA from 1 species
UACGUAGGGUGCAAGCGUUGUCCGGAAUUAUUGGGCGUAAAGAGCUCGUAGGCGGUCUGUUACGUCGGCUGUGAAAACCUGGGGCUCAACUCCGGGCCUGCAGCCGAUACGGGCAGACUAGAGUUCGGCAGGGGAGACUGGAAUUCCGGGUGUAGCGGUGGAAUGCGUAGAGAUCCGGAAGAACACCGGUGGCGAAGGCGGCCUGCUGGGCAGUUGCUGACACUGAGGCGCGACAGCGUGGGGAGCAAACAGG